rnacentral:rRNA from 1 species
ACUCCUACGGGAGGCAGCAGUGGGGAAUCUUGGACAAUGGGCGCAAGCCUGAUCCAGCCAUGCCGCGUGAGUGAUGAAGGCCCUAGGGUCGUAAAGCUCUUUCGCCAGGGAUGAUAAUGACAGUACCUGGUAAAGAAACCCCGGCUAACUCCGUGCCAGCAGCCGCGGUAAUACGGAGGGGGUUAGCGUUGUUCGGAAUUACUGGGGCGUAAAGCGCGCGUAGGCGGAUUAGUCAGUCAGAGGUGAAAUCCCGGGGCUCAACCCCGGAACUGCCUUUGAUACUGCUAGUCUUGAGUUCGAGAGAGGUGAGUGGAAUUCCGAGUGUAGAGGUGAAAUUCGUAGAUAUUCGGAGGAACACCAGUGGCGAAGGCGGCUCACUGGCUCGAUACUGACGCUGAGGUGCGAAAGUGUGGGGAGCAAACAGGAUUAGAUACCCUGGUAGGAUAGCG